rnacentral:lncRNA from 1 species
AUGGUUGAUUUCAUAUGUAUUUUGCUUUCUUCUUUAGGAGCAGAUAAGAAUGCUGAGGAAGAUUCUAUAUCCAGGCUUUCGGACAAACCUGGUCCUGAUGAUUCAUGGUCUACAUCAUCUAGCCAAGUCUUAGAUUUUGGUACCAAGGUAAAGUACCCUCCUGUGAAACUCACUUUCCUGCUCUGAAUUGAGUUUUCUCCCUUAUUUACUCUGAAAAUUUAAGAGGAGCCUGUGUAUCAUCAUUUUAUGUGUGUCAUGGAAAGUUAGCAAGAACAAACCACUUUACAGAUACAUGACGCGUUGAAUGUCUUGUUUUGUUUUGUUGUACUUUGGUAAAUCCUACAGGUGGAGGCUGAUAAAAGAAUGGGCUGGAAAACAUAUAAUGACCGUCAUAUUAUGUUGGGAAAAGCUUUCCCAUCAUGGAGGCAAUAUGACAUUUGCUUAAGGAUAAGGAUUCUUACUGUGAUAGUAACAUGACUGAUAAUACUCAGGCCUAAAUGAAACCUGAUUGGGUCCAAGUAUCUAUUGUAGGGUGCCCCCCCCCCCGGCCCCGGGCAAGUUUUAUUUUGGUGACAUACAGGAUUUCCUUUGGCUCUAUCCUUUGUUCUACAUUUAGACGAAAAUAAUAUUAUAUAUAUAUAUAUAUAUAUA